UGCUCCUCCUCCAAGAGGAAGUUGCGUCAGGUGAGCCAGGCUCAGCGUAAUCAUUAGGUAAGUGAACGUUACAGGUUCAUUAAUAAUUCAAAUAAAACGUAGGCACGAAUCACCUCAUUAAUAAUCGCGAGAACGAUUGCGACAGGUGGUGUCAUCAUGACAACACACAUUCGUUUUAUUUUAAUUAUUCAUGAUGUUGUGACUCAAACACUAUAAUGCUUACAGUGAGUUUACCUCAUAAGCUAUCAUAAGCCAUUGACAUUGACGUAAGGUUAACGCACACGGAAGAGACUCAAACCACCAUAAGGAAUACACUAAGAGAAGACGCAGAAGAAGAAAUCGUUUUGGGGAAAUUGGCUUUGGACAAAAUUCUUUUAACUGCAACCGCAAUGGCUUGACAAAUGCUGAUUUGGAUGCCAAAAUAACAAACAAUGAACCAGAAUCUGAAUCAGAAUCAGAAGCUGAAUCUGCCUGCUGGGGGACUGCAUACAUUAAAAAGAAGUUGUUGGACCAUACGUGGACCAACCAUUCAUGAUGCACACAAAGCCAUUUACUAUAGACUGCACAGGUGGAUAUAUGGACGCUUAUUUAAAAGCUUUGAAUUUUCCUAUGCACACAUGUCUAUUCUGCCUUAUGAUCUUGUAAACGAUUUUGUUUAAAUUUGCUUACAGAUAUUUUAUUUAACUGCUUACUGUUUACAAUAAUGCUGUAUAUGGUAACUUUCUUGUCUGGUGUACAAACUUGCUGUUAUACAAAAUAUGACAAGAAAAACUGUGUUCCUGCACCGUGCAAUGCAUCA